rnacentral:rRNA from 1 species
GACGAACCGAGCGAACGUUAUUCGGAAUCACUGGGCUUAAAGGGUGCGUAGGCGGGCGAUCAAGUCAGGGGUGAAAGCCUCCAGCUCAACUGGAGAAGUGCCUUUGAUACUGGUCGUCUUGAGGGAGGUAGGGGCGUGCGGAACUUCCGGUGGAGCGGUGAAAUGCGUAGAUAUCGGAAGGAACACCAGUGGCGAAAGCGGCGCGCUGGACCUCUUCUGACGCUGAGGCACGAAAGCCAGGGGAGCAAACGGG